rnacentral:lncRNA from 1 species
UAGGUCAAAAGGUCAAGGCCCGUGUGGGCUCCAAGUACAAGGCCAGCCUAGGCUAUGUAUAACAAGACCCUGUCUCAGAAUUAGUAACACUGGCUGGGACUGACUGGGGCUCUGUGGUAGAGUGCUUACUUAGCAUACUUAAGGCCUGAGUCCUCAGCUCCACAAAAACAAAAAAGAGUUACUAAUUAGAUACCUCUGUGUGCCAGCUCUGUUGAGUACUUUGGUAAGUGUUGCUCUCUGUGGCAUUUCCCCUCCAGGCAGCUCUAGAAAGUAAAGGUUACUGGCCCGGUUUUCAGAGGCAAACGGUAAAGCUCGGCAUGGUGAGACAUGCCUGGAAUCUCAGCUACACGGUGGGUUUGAGGCUAGCCCCUCGGCAAAUGUGAGAAUUAGAUAUUCUCGAAGGAUCCAACGAUACUGCUUGGUUUCUUGGUUCCUAAUCCAGUGUCCUGAGAAGGCGCGGUUGUCAUCGGCUGCCAGAGACUUGCCGUCCUACCCAUCCCAUCCUGCUCAGUGCCCGUGGGUCCUUGCUUGUGUCUGGUGUGACUGUGUACCGGGCAGUCUAUGUAACAUCGUCUUCCCACAGCCAUCCCUGACGGGACUUCUGCCAGACUGGUGCCCUGCAGCAGCAGGCUGGUGAUCCACCCUGUGAGUUACCUCUGUAUAAAAACCAGCCUCCAACCUGCC